CCACCAAUCUCUGCCCCUCACAAAAAUCACCAGAAAAUUAAAAAAAAAACAUAUACAAAAAAGAAGCUUGAAUCAGAAGUUGCAGAGACGCAAUCAAAUAUCGAUUCAUUGAAUACGAAUCUCAAUGAUUUUGGCGUACGAUAAAUUGAUGUUUUGAAUUCUAAUCUUACCCACUGUUCAGAUUCUAGGUUUGACGUUAAAAUUCGUACGAAACUUCAUCAAAACGGUGAAUGAACCUGUGGCGAGUUGAAAUCCCAACACCGCUGCUUCAGCGCUGUCUUGAUAAUCGUAUAAAACACAUCCGCCGAACAUCUUUCUGUGCAGUGUGAGUGGUGUGUUUGUGGGACUAAUUCACCAUGAAAGAUGAUGCUGUUACACCAGAUCCUAAUGACGAGGAAGAUGAUAUCUUUUAUUGCUCACUUUAUGAUUUAGAAAUUUGCUUUUCUCAGAUACACAUUUGUUAUGAAAGUUUGACUUCUCUAGACGGUUUCUUUGUGUUUUAUUUAAGUUAAACGUAGUAGUAAUAUUGCAGGACAUGUAAAUGGUGUGUUGGAGGUUUGCUCACAAUUUCAGGUGUCUCAAUAAAUGCGUAAAGAAAAGGAAGCACCACUUUCAUACUUCUAAUAGUGUUCGUCUUGCUCAUGAAGGUGGAACAGCCAUUGCCAUAUUUUCCAGAUGUUUUGUUGCAAAGAAAAGGAUGGAAACCGAACUCAAGAGAAGGCUUCAUGUAGUGUUCCUUAGUUGGUCCCUUGCUCCAAUAUAUGUUCUGUUGAUUUUGUUAACGGUCUACGUUUAAGAAAUUAUGGGGCAGCUUUUCCUCUUACAUCUGGUAGUGUUCAAAUACUUGUAGAGGAUGAGAAAAUAUUAGCAAUGGGGGGGGAAGGAAUCAGUUUACCGAAGGAAAUCAGUUUACCAGAGUGGACCCUUUUGAUGAGAUUCAGGUGUCGAUAGAAGGAGAUGGUCGUUCAACUUCUCCCAUACUUAUUAACAAGCAAUCAUGUUUCCAUGUAAGCAUAAAUCCAUCAAGCUGAUCAUUUGGUAUCGAGAAUGCUGACCUCUGUGGAAAAAGAUAGGCUGUUCAAGAUUUUAGUCCAAAAAUCUAUCGAACCAAAAACUCAGACAAAGCUCUGAAAUCAUCGGAUUCUGGUAUACUGUCCGAAAAAUUAGUGUUUCUGAAAUCUGUGCACACAUCGAAGAUAUUAGCUUAUGGUGGAGAUAUUAGCUUCUGAUAAUUAUUUGUAUCAGUUUCUUUUGGUGAAAGCCAAAAAUGAUUUUAAUUUGAUCUAUAUGUGUUUAGUGGCUAUCUAGCUAAUAACUUGAUUUAAACACUUUCUAAGUUUCUUUUAAGUUUAAGGAAGGGUUAGAGUAAA